CCCCGGGUGGGAUUUGUCAGGAUGCCCCGCUGGGGUGGUAGGGGGUUCCGCAUCCCGAUUCUGCCCCGGCUCGGGCCAUCGAAACGAGAUGCGCGACCCGGCUGCUCCGACGUUUGUCCCCCACAUGCGGGAUGCGAGGCCCGGCCAACCGCCGCGGGAAGCCCGCGAGGGUGUGGCGUGCGUCCCGGCACUCCCCCGUUUGCAAUGCCGCUCGGUCAUUUGGAUCCCCCGGG
rnacentral:lncRNA from 1 species